rnacentral:tRNA from 1 species
AUAAAGUGCCUGAAAAAGGAUUAUCAUGAUAGGAUAAAUCAUGUAAUUUUCACAAUUACCUUUAUUA